GACAGAGGGUGCAAACGUUGUUCGGAAUUACUGGGCGUAAAGCGCGUGUAGGCUGCUUCGCAAGUCGGAUGUGAAAGCCCUGGGCUCAACCCAGGAAGUGCAUUCGAAACUGCAGGGCUAGAGUCCUGGAGAGGAAGGUGGAAUGCUUGGUGUAGAGGUGAAUUCGUAGAUAUCAAGCGGAACACCGGUGGCGAAGGCGGCCUUCUGGACAGUGACUGACGCUGAGA
rnacentral:rRNA from 1 species